CUGGAUCUGACCUGACCCUGGACUCCUAGAACAAUUCUAGACAUAUGAGCUCCAGAGUUUUUCUAGCCAUCUGGAAAUGUCCACAGGUUGUGAAGAAAAUGGCCAGAAAACAACAUCCAAAGAGAGAAAGGCAGAAGAGAAGAGAAGAGAAGAGCAUGUGGAGGAGAACAAGAUUCUGGAUCAGCAUAGCCUGCAUGCUUAGCUCCA
rnacentral:lncRNA from 1 species